rnacentral:rRNA from 1 species
GUCCACGCCUUAAACGAUGGAUACUAAGUGUCGGCGGGUUACCGCCGGUGCCGCAGCUAACGCAGUAAGUAUCCCGCCUGGGAAGUACGGCCGCAAGGUUGAAACUCAAAGGAAUUGACGGGGGCCCGCACAAGCGGUGGAGCAUGUGGUUCAAUUCGACGCAACGCGAAGAACCUUACCCAGGCUGGACAUGCAGGUAGUAGAAGGGUGAAAGCCUAACGAGGUAGCAAUACCAGCCUGCUCAGGUGCUGCAUGGCUGUCGU